GAUGAAGAACGUAGCGAAAUGCGAUAAGUAAUGUGAAUUGCAGAAUUCAGUGAAUCAUCGAAUCUUUGAACGCACAUUGCGCCCAUUAGCAUUCUAGUGGGCAUGCCUGUUCGAGCGUCAUUUCAACCCUUAAGCCCUGUUGCUUAGCGUUGGGAGCCUACAGUACUGUCGCUCCCCAAAGUUAGUGGCGGAGUCGGUUUCACACUCUAGACGUAGUAAUUUUUUCUCGUCUGUAGUUGAGCCGGUCCCCUGCCGUAAAACACCCAAUUUAUCAAGGUUGACCUCGGAUCAGGUAGGAAUACCCGCUGAACUUAAGCAUAUCAAUAAGCGGAGGA
rnacentral:misc_RNA from 1 species